rnacentral:rRNA from 1 species
UGCUUCGACCGCGACCCCAGGUCAGGCGGGACUACCCGCUGAGUUUAA